rnacentral:rRNA from 1 species
ACGGGUGAGUAACGCGUGGGCAACCUGCCUUAUACAGGGGGAUAACACAGGGAAACUUGUGCUAAUACCGCAUAAGACUACCGGGUGGCAUCAUCUGGUGGUCAAAGGAGUCAAAUCCGGUAUAAGAUGGGCCCGCGUCCGAUUAGCUAGUUGGGGGUGUAACGGACCACCAAGGCGACGAUCGGUAGCCGGACUGAGAGGUUGGACGGCCACAUUGGGACUGAGACACGGCCCAGACUCCUACGGGAGGCAGCAGUGGGGAAUAUUGCGCAAUGGGGGGAACCCUGACGCAGCAACGCCGCGUGAAGGAUGAAGGUUUUCGGAUUGUAAACUUCUUUAGUCGGGGACGAAAAAUGACGGUACCCGAAGAAUAAGCCACAGCUAACUACGUGCCAGCAGCCGCGGUAAUACGUAGGUGGCAAGCGUUGUCCGGAAUUACUGGGUGUAAAGGGCGUGUAGGCGGGGAUGUAAGUCAGAUGUGAAAUUCCAGGGCUCAACCCUGGCGCUGCAUCUGAAACUAUAUUUCUUGAGUGCUGGAGAGGAAAGCGGAAUUCCUAGU